rnacentral:Y_RNA from 1 species
GGCUGGUCUCAGUACAGUGGUGCUUACAACCACUAGGCUCAGCCAGGUACCGAUUUCCUUGUUCCUUCUCCACUCCCACUUCACUUCACCAGCCUAAA